UAAACCCAGUAGAUGGGAUGUUGGAGCUUGCUUGUUUCCCAGGGAUGUGGAAGAUAAACAGCGGACCCUCAUGGGUUCACAGAAGAUGGGAGGCCUCUUGAGGUGGCCUGUGUCCCUUUGGCAGCUCCUCCAGGUUUGAUCCUCCUAUCAGAGGCCACUCUAUCCCCUAAUCCUCCUAGUAGCAUCCUGAUUCCUCUUUUUCCCCUCAUCCCAGGAUUUUAUACCAGGGUAGAAAAUUUUCCACUUUAUUCAGCACAUCGUUCCCAAAACCAUUGCUACUUGUCAGUGAGACCACACAUUUCCUGAAGUGGGAAAUUGACUCUUCUGCAUCAUCCCCCCUAAGGAAAUGACUACAGAGGGCCUCGCUGAUGAGUGAAGAGGAAAACCUUAGAACAAAACCACAAACAUGCUUGUGUGUCUUUCAACAGUAUUGUCCUGCCCAUAUCAGCAUCAGUAUCAUCAGCAGCACCAUCAUCAUGAUCACCGUGACCACCAUCAAGCAAAUACAUUUAUUGAGGGCUUAUUGAAACUGCCAGCACACAUUACCUGGAAGAAACCUCCAUCCUCAAAGACUUGGAAAAGGCUGUCCUGGAGCCUGCGUGGAGGUUACAAAAACCAUCCCUCUGGUGGUGGCCUGAGCAGAUGACUUCAACCCCAAUGUUGCCCUGAACGUUGCAUUCAAGAUUUGAGAAGAUUAGGACUGCUAAGGUAUGGACUUGUGACUUCUAUCUUUUUUGAAGGCAAAUACAUUUAAAGAUAGUUAAUCAUUUUCACAGCCUUCUCUCCUCCUCAUCUGCUCUUUUCUUUUUCUCUUGCCUUUCUCCCUCCCUCCUUUUAAGCAAUGAUCUAGUCUUUUGUUACCAGCUUGUGGGAUGUGGUGGGAUGGAUAAAAUUAUAAUGGAAGAAAUGGAAGGCUACCCUGUCUCAAUAACAGAGGUGAUCAGAGGGGAGGCAGUCUAAGCAUGAAGAGAAAUUCGUGCAGACAUCUUUGAUAGAAAAAAGAAAUUGAGAUUGUUCCUUAUGUGAUAAGAGACAUGUAAAGAAGUGGUACAUGUGAUAAACUGUGUAUUUCCAUAUUCUAUGUCCACAGAAGACUUUUGGCAAACUGUUGUAUUAUAUCUUAAGAUUUGAGGAUAAUUGUGUUUAUAUAUCUUAGAUGCAUACCUAGGCUAGUGUUAGAAUCUUCUGAGUUGAGUCAGGUGAUCCCAUCUUCUUUUCUAGUUACAAUGAUAAUCAUUCUUUGUGUGUUUGUGUAUGGUAUAUAUGUACAUACACAUACUUACAU
rnacentral:lncRNA from 1 species